UCCUGGGAUGCCGUUGAUUUUUAAGGCAAUAGGAUUUGCAGGACUUUUCGUCAAAUCCUUGUAUAACGUCAAGUCAUGACAUUUGACAGAUCCACACCGAACGUUAAGCGAUUACGUGUCAGGAAUGGGAGCAUCUUGCCAUCAUUGCUUCACACUCAGGAAAUGUUCUUGGAACUUUACGCCGCCUGCCCUCCAGAGAAGCUGUAGCAUCUUUUGCUCCCGGGUAGUAUAAACCGCACGGAAGGGACUAAAAAUCGCUGCCCAGUGAUCUAAGCGCUCCGAAGUGCCAAAAGGUACCACCCUGCCCCCUGUGAGGCUCGAACUCACAACCUUCAGAUUAUUAGACUGACGCGCUGCCUACUGCGACAACGAGGCAGACUGCAGCAGCUUGGAAAGCUGUGACACACCACGUUCCAUUUCACUGUGCUGCGGUGUGGGUCCUAGGAGACAGCUCAGGCCAUGCAUGCAUGUCAGGAUGGCUGAGCGGUGUAUAGCGCUGUGUUCAGGUCGCAGUUUCCCCUGGAGGCUUGGUGUCAAAUCCCCCUUCUGACAAACCAAAUCUUUGGCUAUACGCUAAGGCUCAAGUCUUUAACUCUCUGGCGCCAUGUCCAAGUGAUACAGUAACACUGACAAAGCGCCGCAUCAACCUCUUUGCGCCAAAGUUCUUGCAGCGUAGUAAUGUCCCUGGCAACCCUAAUAGGCAUUUUAAACUGCAAGUUUUAAGGCGUUGUCCACAGCAACUCGGAAAACCCUGUGAACAAAACAAUGGACGAGGGCUUUAAUGCAAAUGCACCGAAAGGGGAUCGAAAGAACUGUCUUGGAAUGCCAUGUAGUGGAAUGUCCUGGGAUGCCAUUGAUUUUAAGGCAAUAUGAUUCACAGGACUUUUCAUCAAAUCCUUGUACAACGUCAAGUCAUGACAUUUGACAGAUCCACGCUGAACGUCAAGCAAUUACUUGACAGGAAUGGGAGCAUCUUGCCAUUAUUGCUUCAGACUCAGGAAAUGUUCUUGGUACUUCAUGCCUCCUGCCCUUCAGAGAAGCUGUAGAAUUUUUUGCACCCGGGAAGCUAGAACCGCACGGAAGGGAAUAAAAAACGCUGCCCAGUCAUCUAAGCGUUCCCGUAUGCCAAAAGGUACCACAUUGCCCCAUGUGAGGCUCGAACCCAUGACAUUCAGAUUAUGAUACUGACAAACUGCUUACUGCGCCAACGAGGCAGACUGCAGCAGCUCUGCAAGCUGUGACAACACCAGCUUCCAUGUUACUGUGGGUCCUAGGAGACAGCUUAGGCAAUGCAAGCAUGUCAGGAUGGCUGAGGGAUCUAAGGUGCUGCGUUCAGAUCGCAGUCUCCGCUGGAGGCGUGGGUUCAAAUCCCACUUCUGACAAACAAAAUCUUUGGCUAUACGUUCAGGCUCAAGCCUUUAACUCUCUGUCCAAGUGAUACAGUAACACUGACAAAGUGCCGCAUCAACCUCUUUGCUCCAAAGUUCAUGCAGCGUAGCAGUGUGCCUGGGAAGCUUAAUGGGCACUUUAGAUGGCAAGUUUUAAGGUGUUUGUGAUUUAAGGCAUUGUCCACAGCAACUCGGAAAAACAUGUGAACAAAACAGUGGACGAGGGCUUUAAUGCUAGUGCACCGAAAAGGGAUUGAAAGAACUGUCGUGGAAUGCCAUGUGGUGGAAUGUCCUGGGAUGCCGUUGAUUUUUAAGGCAAUAGGAUUUGCAGAACUUUUUGUCAAAUCCUUGUACAACAUCAAGUCAUGACAUUUGACAGAUCCACACCGAAUGUCAAGCGAUUACUUGUCAGGAAUGGGAGCAUCUUGUCAUCAUUGCUUCAGACUCAGGAAAUGUUCUUGGAACUUCAUGCCGCCUGCCCUCCAGAGAAGCUGUAGCAUUUUUUGCUCCCGGGAAGCAUGAACCGCAUGGAAGGCAAUAAAAAAAACGCGGCCCUGUCAUCUAAGCGCUCCCGCUCCAAAAGGUACCACCCUGCCCCGUGUGAGGCUCAAACUCACAACCUUCAGAUUAUGAGACUGACACGCUGCCUACUGUGCCAACAAUGAGUACUGCAACAGCUCUGCAAGCUGUGACACAGCAGCUUCCAUUUCACUGUGCUGUGGUGUGGGUCCUAGGAGAUAGCUCAGGCAAUACAAGCAUGUCAGGAUGGCCGAGCAGUCUCAGGUGCUGCGUUCAAGCUGAGGAAUAAUCAUCCAACAAAGAAGGUGAAGAAGGAAAGAAUAGGGUGAAGGAAGAAGAGGGGGGAAAAAACGAAGGUGCUCACCAACACGGGGGUUCGAAUCCAGCUAAAGACGCUUUAUUGUUAUUUGUUUCUUAUUACUCAAUAAACUAACAAUUUGAAUGUAUAAUGCUCCAAGGUAAAUAAAAUAUGCCUAAGCACUUUG